CUUUACGGUUGCCAGGCACUUCGAGGCCUACUUACUGUGGCUGUUCGGCUGGGUCAUGUUCUGCAGCUCGCAGGGUGACUCGUGCCCCAAACAUCUCAUUCCUUUAGCGAGGUCGAUAGCUGACGCUCCACUUCACGAGAUGCCACAGUUCAGCUGGGGUUCUGCUGUUUUGGCUACGAGUUACAGGGGUCUUUGCACGGGCGUGACGAAGGUCUCAGCAGAGGAGCCCAUUUUUGUUGGGUGUCCUCUACUGUUACAGCUCUGGUCUUACGAGCGUUUUCCCGUCGGUAGGCCAGAGAUGGACUUCGAGCCGUACGUCCAGCUGUCCGCAGACCACGACGACGUCGACAGACCUACGAUGGGUUCGUUGUGGUGCCUCAGGAGGCCUUCUUGGGUUGGCGUGCAGACGAGGAAGUCGUACCACGACUUCGUUGGACAGUUUGACGCUCUUGUGGACACGGACGUGAGGUGGACUCCGUACACUGCAGCCGACAUUUACGCCCGGGCACCGAGCGGUCUUUCGUCCUUAUGCCUGUGAGAUCACGAGUACUGGAUGACAAGGAAGCCGAUCCUUUACGACAUCCACAUCGAGGAGUACCACGUUCACCGGGUUAUGAGGCAGUUCGGUCUCUACCAACAGACCCCGGUCCCGAUUGUGCACUCAGUGGAGGCCCACGUCCACAGGUGGACACGGCAGGGUCGGCCACUAGGCUCGC